AACGCGAAGAACCUUACCUACCCUUGACAUGCCAGGAAUCCUGAAGAGAUUUGGGAGUGCCCGAAAGGGAACCUGGAUACAGGUGGUGCAUGGUUGUCGUCAGCUCGUGUCGUGAGGUGUUGGGUUAAGUCCCGCAACGAGCGCAACCCCUGUCCCUAGUUGCCAUCGGGUAAAGCCGGGAACUCUAGCGAGACUGCCUGGGUUAACCAGGAGGAAGGUGAGGAUGACGUCAAGUCCGCAUGGCCCUUAUGUCUGGGACUACACACGUGCUACAAUGGUCGGUACAGAAGGCAGCGAAACCGUGAGGUGAAGCAAAUCCCAAAAGCCGGCCCCAGUUCAGAUUGUAGUCUGCAACUCGACUACAUGAAGAUGGAAUUGCUAGUAAUGGCGAGUCAGCAACAUCGCCGUGAAUACGUUCCCGGGUCUUGUACACACGC
rnacentral:rRNA from 1 species